GGUCAAUUUUGUCGAAAUUCAGUUGGCUGUGCCACCCCAAGUACAUGCCCCCCUUCUUAGCCACUUGUUUUGCUUUCUCCUCUUUCUCUCUCUUAGUUAAUUUCUGACACUUUAAACUGAGUAGAGGAUUAACACUAUUACCACUUGACAACUUUUUCUUUUCUAUUUCUUUCUCUUUCUUUCUUUCUCUCUCCCCUACAUUACGGUACAUGACAUGUUUUGAAGUACAUGUUUAGUACAUUAUGGUAUAUGAACUGUACUGUAUCAGUUUUUAAAUAUCUCGUGUACAUGAACUUAUGAUACAAGAACAUCGUAUGGUACAUCACAUGUAUCUAAACAGUUUUUAAGUACCUCAUGCACAUGACAGAUAAAUGAAGUUAUAUGACAAGUACAUGAAGGUAUAUCACAGAUACAUCAAGGUACAUGAUAGUUCCUCAACUCAUACAAUUAAUAAGUACCUCAUCAACGAUAAAUUACAUCACAGUACAUGAUAAGUACCUCCUCAAUUCUCAAUGGAGAUAGAAAAAAGAAGAAGAAAUAAUCAAAGUACCUCGUCAUAUGAAGACUUUGUACAUCAAUUCAUAACAAUAUAUCGUGUACUAGAACAAAAUCGCAGUACAAACAAUCAUCGAAACACGGUACCAAUCAUCUAACAUGGAAAAAAAGAAUCGAAGCGGAGUACAUCAUGUACCAAGACAAAAUCACGGUACGAACAAUCAUCAAAACACAGUACCUCAUGGAUCUAACAUAAAAAAAAAAUUGAAGCUGGAUACAUCAUGUACCAGGACAAAAUCACAGUACGAACAAUCACAAAAAAUCAGUACCUCUUCCUGUACCCAUGUUACAUCCGUACAUGGCGGUACUAAAAAGUCACAGCACAAAACUUCAAAGAAAGCAGAAGAUCCGAAAGCAAAAUAACAAGAUGGCGGCGCGCAUCUGCUGCUUGCUCAUCUUUGCUUCUUGCCCGCACUCUCAAUUCAAAGAAGAAAACAGAAAUCCAAAUACACGCACACGUACACACAUCACGC
rnacentral:lncRNA from 1 species